UACGAAGGGGGGCUAGCGUUGCUCGGAAUCACUGGGCGUAAAGGGUGCGUAGGCGGGUCUUUAAGUCAGGGGUGAAAUCCUGGAGCUCAACUCCAGAACUGCCUUUGAUACUGAGAAUCUUGAGUACGGGAGAGGUGAGUGGAACUGCGAGUGUAGAGGUGAAAUUCGUAGAUAUUCGCAAGAACACCAGUGGCGAAGGCGGACUCACUGGCCCGGUACUGACGCUGAGGUGCGAAAGCGUGGGGAGCAAACAGG
rnacentral:rRNA from 1 species